rnacentral:misc_RNA from 1 species
CGCAGCCGCGGUAAUUCCAGCUCCAAUAGCGUAUAUUAAAGUUGUUGCAGUUAAAAAGCUCGUAGUUGAAUUUCGAGAUCAAAUUGUUGGUCGUGCCUUGGUACGCACUGGCAUUAUUGGUUUCUCCCUUCUGACGAACCAUGAUGUCAUUAAUUUGGUGUCUUGGGGAAUCAGGACUGUUACUUUGAAAAAAUUAGAGUGUUUAAAGCAGGCUCACGCUUGAAUACAUUAGCAUGGAAUAAUGAAAUAGGACGUUUGAUUCUAUUUUGUUGGUUUCUAGGAUCGACGUAAUGAUUAAUAGGGAUAGUUGGGGGCAUUAGUAUUCAAUUGUCAGAGGUGAAAUUCUUGGAUUUAUUGAAGACUAACUACUGCGAAAGCAUUUGCCAAGGAUGUUUUCAUUAAUCAAGAACGAAAGUUAGGGGAUCGAAGACGAUCAGAUACCGUCGUAGUCUUAACCAUAAACUAUGCCAACUAGGGAUCGGAUGAUGUUAAUUUUUUAAUGACUCAUUCGGCGCCUUAC